rnacentral:lncRNA from 1 species
GUUGUGUUAUAUGUUUUAUUUUAUGUGAAUUGAGGCGUCUUAUUAUCACAGACCAAUAAUAACAAAUAAACUAUAAAUACUACCAGUAAACAUAUACAUAUCAAGAUCUCUACUUCUAUAUUUAAAGUCACAAAACAGCAGAAUUCUACAAUGUAAACAAAAUGAUGAACUUUUUAAUAUGACUCCUGCAAAUACAUUCGGUUUGUGAGUUUUAUAGGGGUUAGUAAAUUUCAUAGGGGUUCGUGUCGUCAUGUCUACUGUUAAUGAUGACGUCAUCUAUUAAUGUUGUUGUGUUUCAUUGUUUAUUUUUCAAAUAAACAGCAGAAAAAUUCCAGCGUGCAUAAAUUUGUUAUACAGUUAAUUACUGACCCCUACUGACCAUAGAGGGUGAAUAAAAUCAAAAGGGGAUUCAGCCUCCAGCCUCACCCCCUAUGGAUUUUACUAACCCUCUAUGGAUCGGUUGGGGGUCAGUAGCAAACCAUUAUACUUACAGUACAAAAUUUUAUCUGACAAUUGUCACAGAUUCGUCCUCAACUUCAAAGACAUUUUCACAUCUGGUUUUUCACAUUACAGAAUUUUUUACAAAAAUUCCAAGGAUUUUUCUAAGAUUUCUUCAAGACCUAUUUUCAAGGAUUGUAUUGAAUAAGAUAUGGCAGGAAGAAACUAUCAUUUACUCUUACUUCUACUGAAUGACUUUGGUUUAAACUCUAAAAAUGGUCUUCGUCAGGACAAUGUCAUUCUUAUUGAAUAAAAGCUUUUGGAACUGAAGGAAAUUGUACUUCAUAUAUAAAAAAAAAAAACAAGCUAAAUUCUAAGUAAACAAGCUACAAAUAAACUAUAAAAAAAACUUCAUACAAUUAACAUAAAACAACG